rnacentral:misc_RNA from 1 species
UCUCUCUCUCUCUCUCUCCCCUUCAAAAUAAAAUAUGAUGAUCUGCAUCACAUAGCUUCACUAACUUCUAUGUGAAUACAAAAAUAAAUAAAUAAAAAUGGGAGAUCUGGGAAGAUCAUUCAUCUAAAUCUUCUCUUUGCUUCUCCAUAAGCAACUACCCCAGCAACAGUCAUUGUGUAACCUGCAAUCCCCACGAAUGUUACAGGAUUCCUGAAGAUGAAAAUUGAGAUAACAACAGCCACAGCGCCCUUUGCAUUGCCUAACACCUGGAGUGUUAGUGCACUUGUAUGCUU